GGACGUACAGUAAUGACAUGAACUGGUGAGUAAUCUCUUGAUUCUGCAAUACCACCUAGGGAUAGGGGUAGGACGAUCAAUUGCGCUAACUUCUGUUUAUAGUGCAGUAUUAAUUACUAGGGGAGCCUAGGGAUAGCAAGCCAGUAGUUCAUAUUAGGCCCUUUUCGCCAAGGGAUCGGGUUAAGGGGAUGCUAAGAAAGUCGCAUAACAAUUGAAUCAAUCAACUAAUAUUCAAGGGUAGUAUGUAAGAGAGAGUGGAAUAGAUGAAAUUGUUAGUACCCAACAACAUCCAUUCAUCCAUUG
rnacentral:lncRNA from 1 species